GUAAGUAACACAUUGGAAUAAGAAUCAGUUUGACUAUAAAAUUACAGACUUUCCUUAGGAUAUUCGAGUGCAUCUUUUUAUACAAAAACAUUUCUGAUACUACAUGAAGUUAAAGAAUUAGCUGAAAGCUGUACAUUUGAAAAUCUGAGUAUACUGAAGAAUUAGUAAAUAAUCUGAAAAAGGGUAUAUAUUAUUGCUACUAACUACCAUC
rnacentral:lncRNA from 1 species